rnacentral:tRNA from 1 species
GCCCUUGUAGCUCAGUUGGUAGAGCACAACAUCGGUAAUGUUGAGGUCUGCAGUUCGAUUCUGCACAAGGGCU